GAUGAACGCUGGCGGCGUGCCUAAUACAUGCAAGUCGAGCGAACGGACGAGAAGCUUGCUUCUCUGAUGUUAGCGGCGGACGGGUGAGUAACACGUGGAUAACCUACCUAUAAGACUGGGAUAACUUCGGGAAACCGGAGCUAAUACCGGAUGAUAUUUUGAACCGCAUGGUUCAAAAGUGAAAGACGGUCUUGCUGUCACUUAUAGAUGGAUCCGCGCUGCAUUAGCUAGUUGGUAAGGUAACGGCUUACCAAGGCAACGAUGCAUAGCCGACCUGAGAGGGUGAUCGGCCACACUGGAACUGAGACACGGUCCAGACUCCUACGGGAGGCAGCAGUAGGGAAUCUUCCGCAAUGAGCGAAAGCCUGACGGAGCAACGCCGCGUGAGUGAUGAAGGUCUUCGGAUCGUAAAACUCUGUUAUUAGGGAAGAACAUAUGUGUAAGUAACUGUGCACAUCUUGACGGUACCUAAGCAGAAAGCCACGGCUAACUACGU
rnacentral:rRNA from 1 species